rnacentral:tRNA from 1 species
AUUUAAAUAGUUUAAUUAAAACAUUGAUUUGUGGUGUCAAAGAUGUACUUAGUAUUUUAAAUA